rnacentral:ribozyme from 1 species
UUCCCAGCAACUCCUAUCUCUACCUCCUCGCGGUACUGGCCGGGAUACGAGUAGCCUUAGGGAAGA